UACAGAGGGGGCAAGCGUUGUUCGGAAUUACUGGGCGUAAAGGGCGCGUAGGCGGCCUGCUAAGUCGAACGUGAAAUCCCUGGGCUCAACCCAGGAACUGCGUCCGAUACUGGUUGGCUUGAAUCCGGGAGAGGGAUGUGGAAUUCCAGGUGUAGCGGUGAAAUGCGUAGAUAUCUGGAGGAACACCUAUGGCGAAGGCAGCUCGCUGGGACGUUACUGACGCUGAGACGCGAAAGCGUGGGGAGCAAACAGG
rnacentral:rRNA from 1 species